rnacentral:rRNA from 1 species
UACGGAGGGUGCAAGCGUUGUUCGGAAUUACUGGGCGUAAAGCGCGUGUAGGUGGUCGCGUAAGUCGAAUGUGAAAGCCCCGGGCUCAACCCGGGAAGUGCAUCCGAAACUGCGCGACUAGAGUCCCGGAGAGGAAGGCAGAAUUCCCAAUGUAGGGGUGAAAUCCGUAGAUAUUGGGAGGAAUACCGGUGGCGAAGGCGGCCUUCUGGACGGUGACUGACACUCAGACGCGAAAGCGUGGGGAGCAAACAGG